rnacentral:rRNA from 1 species
AUGGCGUAUGUGGUGGCGACCGGACCCGGGCUGGAGUUUCUAUCAGAUCCGGUUGAUAGGUUUCCCGUCCCCCCGCUCGGCGGCGCCGAUUUGCCUCCUAAUUCUGUGGAUGUUCCGGAUCUGCUUGAACAAGCAGGCGGAUCCAGUAUUGGUGGGGUUGGAGAGCACCUACCAAUGGUGCAACUCGAUUUCAAUGGCGUUUGCCCGAGCAUGAGCGUGUCGGCGAUAGAGUCACAAAAGUCGACAGGGGAACCUGACCCUGAAGCUCCCGGCUGGACGAAGAGGGUCCGUGUUGGCCGGGCUCCAACAGAACGCCCGCCAUGUCCUGGAAGAGUUUGUGCUCUUGAGAAAACAAUCAGAGGAUAUGCUGAGAAGAAAACUGAUAUUGUGGUUGUGCCCGAGGUUGGAGACAGUUUUGAUUCGCUGGGAGAGGCAUACGACUUCUAUAAUCUUUAUUCCUGGGAAAUAGGAUUCAGCAUAAGAUAUGGCAAGAGCAGGUUAAAUGUAGAAAGAACAAAGUGCAUGCAGGAAAUAGUCUGCGGCUGUUCGGGCAAGCCAAAAAAGUCUAAUACUCGGUCAUGCCGGUGUGAAUGUCCAGCAAUGAUCAGAUUACUGAGAAGCAACGACAAUGGCUGGUACAUUAGUGAGCACAGACCAUCUCACAACCACUCACUUGUAGAUUAG